UACGUAGGAGACAAACGUUAUCCGGAGUUACUGGGCGUAAAGGGCGUGCAGGCGGUCUGUUAAGUCUGGCGUGAAAGCUCUCGGCUAAACCGGGAGAGGUCGUUGGAUACUGACGGACUAGAGGACGGUAGAGGCGUGUGGAAUUCCGGGUGUAGUGGUGAAAUGCGUAGAGAUCCGGAGGAACACCAGUGGCGAAGGCGACACGCUGGGCCGUACCUGACGCUAAGACGCGACAGCAUGGGGAGCGAACGGG
rnacentral:rRNA from 1 species